UUUCCGUAGGUGAACCUGCGGAAGGAUCAUUCCUAAUAAGUGUAUCAUGGCACUUUUUUAAAUCCAAAUUCACCUUGUCUGCCAUGUCAGGGUUCAUUUUUCUCUCGAGAGCAGCAGGAUCAAACAUCAACUAUAUCAAAACUCUUUGUCUAAAGUAUCUUAUGGAUAAAACUUUAAAAAAUAAAACUUUUAACAACGGAUCUCUUGGUUCUC
rnacentral:misc_RNA from 1 species